GCCCGGUUAGCUCAACGGUAGAGCUACUCCCUUACAAGGAGAGGGUUGAAGGUUCAAAUCCUUCAUCGGGCACCA
rnacentral:tRNA from 1 species